AUGACAAAAGCAACCUUGCAGGAAUGGAGGAAUCUGGCCAGAGCUGUGCCCCUGCUUGCCACAGGAGCUGCGCGGGAGGAGAAGAAUGUGGGCCAAAAGGAAUGGAGGAAUCUGGCCAGAGCUGUGCCCCUGCUUGCCACAGGAGCUGCGCGGGAGGAGAAGAAUGUGGGCCAAAAGGUAAGAGGAGCUCCUUUGGGUUCUGGGCUUGAAGCAAAGCUGAGAAGCCAUGCCCGGGAGGAGGUGUGGGUAGCUACAGGCCACCUUGCUAUCUCCCCAAGAGAUGAGGUGUGUGGGCUAGGCACCGGGCAGGAGUGCUGGCCAGAAGCAAGCAUCUCUGUGGAGGAAGGGCAAAGGGCGGAGGAGGUUCAAGGUAGCUACCGGGCAUGGCCUUGCUCAGCAAGGGGAGGAAAAGCCUGGAAGGGCACGAGAAGGGGACAGAGAAGGGCAGGCAGUAGGCGUGAAGCUGUGAGCAGAGUAGAGAGCAACUUGGCAGAGCAGCAAGCAGACGUAGGCAAGUGCUGAGGUUUGGCGUGAGUAGCAGCAAAAGCCCAUAGCAUCAGAAGCAGGAAGUGAGGAGAAGGUAAGUGAAGGGCAGGCAAGGUAAUGGGAGGCAGAGGCAAGGGGAAAGGGAGGGUAAGGGAGAAAGAGGGAUGGGGAGGGGAGGGGAUGGGUGAAGAGCAGAGCGGAGGGAAGGGCUGAGGGGAGGGCUGAAGGGCAAACCAAUGAUGAAAAAAGAAAAGAAAAAAUAAGACACAAAAAAUAUGAAAUAAGAGAAAAAAAGAAAAGAAAAAUAAGAAAAAGAGAAAAAAAGAGAAAAAAAAAAAAGAAAAAAAGGAAAAGAAAAAAAGGACAAAAAAGAAAAAAAAAGAAAAGAAAAAAUGAACAAAAAGAGAAAAAAGAGAAAAGAAAAAAAUGACAAAGAGAAAAAAGAGAAAGAAAAAAUGAACAAAAAAGAGAAAAAAGAGAAAAGAAAAAUGAACAAAAAAGAGAAAAAAGAGAAAAGCUAAAAAAAGAAAAAAGAUAAAGAAAAAAGAAAAAGAGAAAAUAGAAAUAAAAAAGAGGACAGAAAAAUAUGAAAAAAAGAAAAAAGAAAAAAGAAAAGAAAAAAAAUAGA
rnacentral:lncRNA from 7 species